GGGUAACAGGGAGUGCUUGCACUCUGCUGACGACCGGCGCACGGGUGCGUAACGCGUAUACAAUCUGCCUUAUACUGGGGUAUAGCCUUUAGAAAUGAAGAUUAAUCCCCCAUAGUCUCUUAUUAUGGCAUCAUAAAAAGAGUAAAGGUUACGGUAUAAGAUGAGUAUGCGUUCUAUUAGUUUGUUGGUGAGGUAACGGCUCACCAAGACUACGAUAGAUAGGGGCCCUGAGAGGGGGAUCCCCCACACUGGUACUGAGACACGGACCAGACUCCUACGGGAGGCAGCAGUGAGGAAUAUUGGACAAUGGAGGCAACUCUGAUCCAGCCAUGCCGCGUGCAGGAAGACUGCCCUAUGGGUUGUAAACUGCUUUUAUAUAGGAAGAAACCUUGGUACGUGUACCAAGCUGACGGUACUAUAAGAAUAAGGAUCGGCUAAC
rnacentral:rRNA from 1 species